rnacentral:rRNA from 1 species
GAGUGAACGCUGGCGGUAGGCCUAACACAUGCAAGUCGAACGGCAGCACAGUAAGAGCUUGCUCUUACGGGUGGCGAGUGGCGGACGGGUGAGGAAUACAUCGGAAUCUACUUUUUCGUGGGGGAUAACGUAGGGACACUUACGCUAAUACCGCAUACGACCUACGGGUGAAAGCAGGGGAUCUUCGGACCUUGCGCGAUUGAAUUAGCCGAUGUCGGAUUAGCUAGUUGGCGGGGUAAAGGCCCACCAAGGCGACGAUCCGUAGCUGGUCUGAGAGGAUGAUCAGCCACACUGGAACUGAGACACGGUCCAGACUCCUACGGGAGGCAGCAGUGGGGAAUAUUGGACAAUGGGCGCAAGCCUGAUCCAGCCAUACCGCGUGGGUGAAGAAGGCCUUCGGGUUGUAAAGCCCUUUUGUUGGGAAAGAAAAGCAGCAGGUUAAUACCCCGCUGUUCUGACGGUACCCAAAGAAUAAGCACCGGCUAACUUCGUG